AUCACUAUUUUAUUUUCCUGAAUCAAUUUUAGUUUAUUCUUUGCCUGUGACAGUACAUCAACCGAUAUCUUUCUAUGAUUCUACAUGCUCUAACCCGUCUAUUUAUUGUUUCAGGGGAAUUCGGGGAAUUUUCAUGGAGAGAGGAUUGACUGUGGACAGCAUGUUGGACACUCGGAUGUGUCGAACUUCAUCAGGACGCAUGACAUCCAAGGGGAGGAUAGACGGAUACUUCAGGGCUGCUACGAUCUUUUUGAAUCGAAGCCAGAUUUCGUUUGGCAAAAUUGCUCCAUCGAAGUCAUGUGCUCGUCAGUUGAGGUAAAGUUCGUGUCUGGAGAUCAAGGCAAUCGCUACCUCUUACGUUUUAAAGAUGGUGACAUUUGGACGGCGGCUCUGAGAGAAGAAAUACGCACAAAAAUCUUCAAUGUGUAUGAGUGGUUACGUAGACUCGUGCAGGGAGUUGGAGAAGCAGUUGCUGGAGCUAUCCAGCAAAAUCC